rnacentral:tRNA from 1 species
GCCGCUAUGGAGAAAUUGGUAGACUCGAGAGAUUCAAAAUCUCUUUUCAGCAAUGAAGUGUCGGUUCAAGUCCGACUAGCGGUACCA